AGCUUGUUGUGUUUUAAUGAUAAGUGGUUCCUGCCCGGUGAUUUUAAACGGCCGCGGUACUCUGACCGUGCAAAGGUAGCAUAAUCAUUUGCCCUUUUAUUGGGGGCUGGUAUGAAUGGAAUGACGGGACUCCGACUGUCUCUUCUCUGGUUUAGAAAUUGCUGUUUUUGUGAAGAAGCAGAAGUUUAGAAAAAAGACAAGAAGACCCUAUUAAGCUUUACUUAUUUCAGAUAGUGCUGUUUGUGGGGCGUAGCGGGCUAUUGUGUGCGUUAAGUUUGGUUGGGGUGACCAAAGAAGACUAGAUCUUCUUUCAAGAGUAAAACUAUGAGUUUAAAAAAGAGCCAGAAUUUUCUGAUAAAAGAACAAGUUACUAUAGGGAUAACAGCGUAAUCUCCUCGAAGAGCCCUUAUUGAUGAGGGGGAUUGCGACUCUCGAUGUUGACUUGUUGUUUCCGCUAAGGCGCAGAAGCCGGAAAGGUUGGUCUGUUCGACCAUUAAAACAGC
rnacentral:rRNA from 1 species